CCUACGGGAGGCAGCAGUGGGGAAUAUUGCACAAUGGGGGAAACACUGAUGCAGCAACGCCGCGUGAGUGAUGACGGCCUUCGGGUUGUAAAGCUCUGUCUUCCGGGACGAUAAUGACGGUACCUGAGGAGGAAGCCACGGCUAACUACGUGCCGGCAGCCGCGGUAAUACGUAGGUGGCGAGCGUUGUCCGGAUUUACUGGGCGUAAAGGGAGCGUAGGCGGACUUUUAAGUGAGAGGUGAAAUACUCGGGCUCAACUUGAGUGCUGCAUUGCAAACGGUAAGUCUAGGGUGCAGGAGAGGAGAAGGGAAGUGCGAGGGAAGCGGGGAAAGGCGUAGAGAUUAGGAAGAACACCAGUGGCGAAGGCGAAUCUCGGGACUAUAACUGACGCUGAGGCUCGAAGGCGUGGUGAGCAAACAGGAUUAGAUACCCCAGUAGU
rnacentral:rRNA from 1 species